UAAUUGUUAUGCUUUUCGUGAAUGUUUAUCGUGAGUAAUUUAGUACAUUUUUUGUAAAUUCACCGGAAGUUUGCGGGGGUAUGCUAGUUCUGAACGUCACAUGCUAAUGUAAAAAGCUGGUUUUUGAUAUAAAUAUGAACUUGAUUGAACAAAACAUGCAUGUAUUGUAUAACAUAAUGUCCUAGGUGUGUCAUCUGAUGAAGAUCAUCAAAGGUUAGUGUUGCAUUUAGCUGUCUUCUGGGUUUUUGUGACAUUAUAUGCUAGCUUGAAAAAUGGGUGUCUGAUAAUUUCUGGCUGGGUACUCUGCUGACAUAAUCUAAUGUUUUGCUUUCGUUGUAAAGCCUUUUUGAAAUCGGACAGUGUGGUUAGAUUAACGAGAGUCUUGUCUUUAAAAUGGUGUAAAAUAGUCAUAUGUUUGAGAAAUUGAAGUAAUAGCAUUUCUAAGGUAUUUGAAUAGCGCGCCACAGGAUUCCACUGGCUGUUACGUAGGCGGGACGAUUUCGUCCCACUGGCCCUAGAGAAGUUAUGUCAGUAGUCUAGUGUGAGGGGUUAUGUCAGUAGUCUAGUGUAAAGGGUUAUGUCAGUAGUCUAGUAUGAGGGGUUAUGUAGUAGUCUAGUGUGAGGGGUUAUGUCAGUAGUCUAGUGUGAGGGGUUAUGUCAGUAGUCUAGUGUGAGGGGUUGUGUCAGGAGAAACAGUGUUGCAGUAGUCUAGUGUAAGGGGUUAUGUCAGUAGUCUAGUGUCAGUGGUUAUGUCAGUAGUCUAGUGUGAGGGAUUAUGUCAGGGGGAACCAGUGUUGCAGUAGUCUAGUGUGAGGGGUUACGUCAGUAGUCUAGUGUGAG
rnacentral:lncRNA from 1 species